UACGGAGGAUGCGAGCGUUAUCCGGAAUCAUUGGGCGUAAAGCGUCCGCAGGUGGCCUAUCAAGUCUGCUGUCAAAGAGUGGAGCUUAACUCCAUAAAGGCAGUGGAAACUGGUAAGCUAGAGUUCGGUAGGGGUAGCAGGAAUUCCCAGUGUAGCGGUGAAAUGCGUAGAGAUUGGGAAGAACAUCGGUGGCGAAGGCGUGCUACUGGGCCGAAACUGACACUCAGGGACGAAAGCUAGGGGAGCAAAAGGG
rnacentral:rRNA from 1 species